rnacentral:rRNA from 1 species
UGGGGAAUUUUGCGCAAUGGGCGAAAGCCUGACGCAGCAACGCCGCGUGAGUGAUGAAGGCUUUCGGGUCGUAAAGCUCUGUCAAGGGGAAAGAGGUGUAUUAUGGUUAAUACCCAUGAUGCUUGACGGUACCCCUAAAGGAAGCACCGGCUAACUCCGUGCCAGCAGCCGCGGUAAUACGGAGGGUGCGAGCGUUGUUCGGAAUUAUUGGGCGUAAAGCGCGUGUAGGCGGUCUUUUAAGUCUGAUGUGAAAGCCCCGGGCUCAACCUGGGAAGUGCAUUGGAAACUGGGAGACUUGAAUACGGGAGAGGGUAGUGGAAUUCCUAGUGUAGGAGUGAAAUCCGUAGAUAUUAGGAGGAACACCGGUGGCGAAGGCGGCUACCUGGACCGAUAUUGACGCUGAGACGCGAAAGCGUGGGGAGCAAACA